AUUGAACGCUGGCGGCAGGCCUAACACAUGCAAGUCGAGCGGAUGAAGGGAGCUUGCUCCUGGAUUCAGCGGCGGACGGGUGAGUAAUGCCUAGGAAUCUGCCUGGUAGUGGGGGAUAACGUCCGGAAACGGGCGCUAAUACCGCAUACGUCCUGAGGGAGAAAGUGGGGGAUCUUCGGACCUCACGCUAUCAGAUGAGCCUAGGUCGGAUUAGCUAGUUGGUGGGGUAAAGGCCUACCAAGGCGACGAUCCGUAACUGGUCUGAGAGGAUGAUCAGUCACCCUGGAACUGAGACACGGUCCAGACUCCUACGGGAGGCAGCAGUGGGGAAUAUUGGACGAUGGGCGAAAGCCUGAUCCAGCCAUGCCGCGUGUGUGAAGAAGGGCUUCGGAUUGUAAAGCACUUUAAGUUGGGAGGAAGGGCAGUAAGUUAAUACCUUGCUGUUUUGACGUUACCAACAGAAUAAGCACCGGCUAACUUCGUG
rnacentral:rRNA from 1 species